GGGGAUGUAGCUCAAUUGGCAGAGUACUGAAACACGCAUGUUUAAAGGCAUGAGGUUUGAUUCCUCGCAUCUCCA
rfam:Dichanthelium oligosanthes cultivar Kellogg 1175 unplaced genomic scaffold Do_version_2_scaffold3727, whole genome shotgun sequence.